rnacentral:lncRNA from 1 species
CUGAGCUCUCCCUGGGAUGGCGGCACCGGCGUUCCCUGCCCGACGGGAUGCAGGGAUUCAGCAUGGAAAUGGAUCAGCGGAAGCACAGCCUGGCUGCCAGAUGGGAAAACCGACGGAGCCUCCAACAUUUAUCCGCGACUCCGCCGCUCUCCUGCGCCGGGAACCGCGGCGGAAGCGAGGAUUGUGGAACCAUCCAGGAUCUGGAGAUCCAAGAGCACCAGGGUUUCUGCUGGAAGGUGAGGAGCUGGGAAGGUUCCUGGAGCCAAGAACAGCAACAGGUCCUUGAUGGAAAUUCUGAGAGGAUGAAGAAUCCACAAUGAUCCAUGAAAUCCUGGUGGGCCAAUAAAAAAG